rnacentral:rRNA from 1 species
GAUGAACGCUAGCGGCAGGCCUAACACAUGCAAGUCGAGGGGUAGAACACUUCGGUGUUUGAGACCGGCGCACGGGUGCGUAACGCGUAUGCAAUCUACCUUGUACAGGGGAAUAGCCCAGAGAAAUUUGGAUUAAUGCCCCAUAGUAUAUAACCUUCGCAUGUUGGUUAUAUUAAAGUUCCAACGGUACAAGAUGAGCAUGCGUUCCAUUAGUUAGUAGGUAAGGUAACGGCUUACCAAGACGAUGAUGGGUAGGGGUCCUGAGAGGGAGAUCCCCCACACUGGUACUGAGACACGGACCAGACUCCUACGGGAGGCAGCAGUGAGGAAUAUUGGUCAAUGGUCGCAAGACUGAACCAGCCAUGCCGCGUGCAGGAAGACGGUCCUAUGGAUUGUAAACUGCUUUUAUACAGGAAGAAACCCUCCCACGUGUGGGAGCUUGACGGUACUGUAGGAAUAAGGAUCGGCUAACUCCGUGCCAGCAGCCGCGGUAAAGUCUGUACUCC